rnacentral:rRNA from 1 species
UACGUAGGGGGCAAGCGUUGUCCGGAAUUAUUGGGCGUAAAGCGCGCGCAGGCGGUUCAUUAAGUUUGGUGUUUAAGCCCGGGGCUCAACCCCGGUUCGCAUCGAAAACUGGUGAACUUGAGUGUAGGAGAGGAAAGUGGAAUUCCACGUGUAGCGGUGAAAUGCGUAGAGAUGUGGAGGAACACCAGUGGCGAAGGCGACUUUCUGGCCUAUAACUGACGCUGAGGCGCGAAAGCGUGGGGAGCAAACAGGAUUAGAUACCCUGGUAGUCCACGCCGUAAACGAUGCAUGCUAGGUGUUAGGGGUUUCGAUCCCUUGGUGCCGAAGUAAACACAGUAAGCAUGCCGCCUGGGGAGUACGCUCGCAAGAGUGAA